CUGCUUCUUUCAAGUAGGGGAAGGGGAAGCAAGGUCUGGGUAAGAAGUGAUCCCCUUUAAACACAGCUUUAUGUGCUUCUUUUGAGUUGAAACACCCGUGGUACAGCACCAGCAACAAGUGCUGGACAGCAACAUCUACUCUGGCUGUUCCACUGUGAUGUCACUA